rnacentral:rRNA from 1 species
CGUAGGCGGGACUGCAAGUCAGAUGUGAAAUCUGGGGGCGUUAACCCUCAAACUGCAUUUGAAACUGUGGUUCUUGAGUAUCGGAGAGGCAGGCGGAAUUCCAAGUGUAGCGGUGAAAUGCGUAGAUAUUUGGAGGAACACCAGUGGCGAAGGCGGCCUGCUGGACGACAACUGACGCUGAGGCGCGAAAGCGUGGGGAGCAAACAGGAUUAGAUACCCUGGUAGUCCACGCUGUAAACGAUGAAUACUAGGUGUGGGGGGACUAACCCCCUCCGUGCCGGAGUUAACACAAUAAGUAUUCCACCUGGGGAGUACGGCCGCAAGGUUGAA